UACCAGCACCCCGAGUGGUCGGGACGAUUAUUGGGCCUAAAGCAUCCGUAGCCGGUUCUGCAAGUCCCCCGUUAAAUCCAGCUGCUCAACAGAUGGGCCGCGGAGGAUACUACAGAGCUAGGAGGCAGGAGAGGCAAGCGGUACUUAGUGGGUAGGGGUAAAAUCCGUUGAUCCAUUGAAGACCACCAGUGGCGAAGGCGGCUUGCCAGAACGCACUCGACGGUGAGGGAGUGAAAGCUGGGGGAGCAAACCGG
rnacentral:rRNA from 1 species